rnacentral:tRNA from 1 species
UUAGUAGAAGCCAAAAAGAGGCUUAUUAUUGUUAAUAAUAAAACUGAGAGAUCCUGCUAUU